AACCAUUCUCACCUGCGGCUAGACCUGCGGAAGGAUCAUUACCUAGAGUUUGUGGACUUCGGUCUGCUACCUCUUACCCAUGUCUUUUGAGUACCUUCGUUUCCUCGGCGGGUCCGCCCGCCGAUUGGACAACAUUCAAACCCUUUGCAGUUGCAAUCAGCGUCUGAAAAAACAUAAUAGUUACAACUUUCAACAACGGAUCU
rnacentral:misc_RNA from 1 species